rnacentral:hammerhead_ribozyme from 1 species
AUCCAGCUGACAAGUCUUAAACAGAACGAAACGCGUCCUAGAU